AUUGAACGCUGGCGGCAUGCUUUACACAUGCAAGUCGAACGGUAACAGGCCUUCGGGUGCUGACGAGUGGCGAACGGGUGAGUAAUGCAUCGGAACGUGCCCAGAGGUGGGGGAUAACGCAGCGAAAGCUGUGCUAAUACCGCAUGUGAUCUGAGGAUGAAAGCGGGGGACCAAGCAGCAAUGUUUGGCCUCGCGCCUCUGGAGCGGCCGAUGUCAGAUUAGGUAGUUGGUGGGGUAAAGGCCUACCAAGCCGACGAUCUGUAGCUGGUCUGAGAGGACGACAAGCCACACUGGGACUGAGACACGGCCCAGACUCCUACGGGAGGCAGCAGUGGGGAAUUUUGGACAAUGGGCGCAAGCCUGAUCCAGCAAUGCCGCGUGCGGGAAGAAGGCCUUCGGGUUGUAAACCGCUUUUGUACGGAACGAAAAGGCUCUGGCUAAUACCUGGGGCUGAUGACGGUACCGUAAGAAUAAGCACCGGCUAACUACGUG
rnacentral:rRNA from 1 species